rnacentral:rRNA from 1 species
CCUACGGGGGGCAGCAGUAGGGAAUAUUGCUCAAUGGGCGAAACCCUGAAGCAGCAACGCCACGUGGAGGAUGAAGGUUUUCGGAUUGUAAACUCCUUUUGUUAGAGAAGAUAAUGACGGUAUCUAACGAAUAAGCACCGGCGAACUCCGUGCCAGCAGCCGCGGUAAUACGGAGGGUGCAAGCGUUACUCGGAAUCACUGGGCGUAAAGGGCUCGUAGGCGGGAUAGCAAGUCAGAUGUGAAAUCCUAUGGCUUAACCAUAGAACUGCAUUUGAAACUGUUAUUCUAGAGUAUGGGAGAGGUAGGUGGAAUUCUUGGUGUAGGGGUAAAAUCCGUAGAGAUCAAGAAGAAUACUCAUUGCGAAGGCAGCCUGCUAGAACAUAACUGACGCUGAUGCACGAAAGCGUGGGGAGCAAACAGGAUUAGAUACCCUAGUAGUC